AGCAAAUAAAGGAGGAAGCGCUGCUAAAGUGGAGUGAGAAGGAGGAGCUGCAUACCUUCUUGAUGUGAUAUACGGACUUUGCUCUCACUUCACCUGUGUUUUCAUUCACUCUUUCUGCAUCGCCAGAAUCAAGCACACAUACAGGCUUCAACGUGAUACUACUGCAGUAUGGAUAAUAUUCAGAAUGCUAAGAGUGAGGCAGAGGAGGUGAAAGUUGCUAUGCUGGAAAAUGAAAAUAAAACAGAAGAACUCAAAGAUGUCAAUCAAAAACCUGAAAAGCCUCAGUGCACCUUUCAGAGGAAAAAAUGUAAGGAAUCUGCUGUGAACCAGAAGAUGGUGUACCUGCGGGCUAAUAAAGGACUCAUAGCCACUGUACUGAUUUCAGCUGCUCUUAUAUUUGCUGUUGUGGUUGCCAUGCUUGCCACUACAGAUGGGCACAGUCACUCAGCCCACAACUCAAAACACAUUGUGCACGUGCAUAAUGUCACAGAAAUGCCAUAGCAAUAGCUGCAGCAGACUAGAAGGAUAAAUCAGUUUGACCAGCACUGUUAUUUUCUUUAUAAAAAAGUCUUUUCAUUUUAGACAGUUUCUGAUAUUGAUUAUGUUUUAUGUUAUAAAGUGUCAUCUGAUCUAAUAUGACGUUUUCCAGCAUAAUUAAAGGUGUAGUUCAGCCAGAAAUAAACAUUUGUAUUGUUUACUUACUCUCAUGUUUUUCCAAACCUGUAUGAAUUUUUUUUUUUUUUUUUUUUUAUGCUAUGAUAAAUAUCUUUGUCCAUUCAGUCCAGUGGGGUCAAAAACAUUGGAUCCUACUGACAAUUUUAUUUAUUUUUUUAUCUUCUUUUGUGAUCCACAGAACAAAGAAAGUCAGGUUUGGAAUGGCUUGAGAGUGAGUCUAACUGGAUUUUCAGUUUUUAUGUGAACUUUCUCUUUAGGAAUGCAUGAUCAACUUAAUGUUACUGUACCAAUCUGCUGUUGUGUUCACUAAAGCUCAUCAGUUUCAGGCUGUCAUAUAAACAUGACUUGGCAGGAAAGGCUAUCAAGAAAAACACAUUCCCCAUGAAAACUCUGCUGAUAGUUUGGUAUGUAAACACAAGGAGAUGUGAUUAAAAGCAAGGGCAUUUUCUGAGGUCAAGUGCACAAUAUCCUUUUUAUUCUACGAAGUGACAAAAGAAGCACACAUGCAAUUUUAGUAGUCAUCUUAAACACAUGCUUUUUGUUUGAGGCUAAAGAUUUUAUAUAAAAAAGCACUUUCUUGUUCACAACCAUAUUUUGUAUGUUGGAAACAAUUAACCACCUCAAGCUGUCAUCGUGUUUUGUUCAAAAAUUCGAUGUAAAUUCCUCAAAAAUAAAUGCAGACAUCUAUUAUAAUCUGCUGUUGUCAUUGAAUCAGCUUUAGUGCUUCAUGUUGACAAAUCAGUUCACAUUCAAAUGCCUAAACAAAUUGAUGGCAGCCCAGUCUAGUCGCUUCAUAAGACGCUUUCUUUACUUGAAUUGAAUCAAGCUGAACUAUUGUCUUCUGUGGAGCUGCUCAGCUGAAUCGCAUAUGAACAAUUUUGUAUUUGUGAGCUGCUUUACUGCAGAAUGUCUCCAUAGUUGAGUUUCCAUAAUUGAUACUGCUAUUUUUCCUGUUUAUCACUGUUUUGACACAAUAUGUAUUGUAAAAAGAGGUACAUAAAUAAAGGAGACUUUGCUUG